rnacentral:lncRNA from 1 species
CCUAUUCUGGCUAUUUCAUAUCAAUGCAAUCCUGCAGUAUGUGCUUUUUUUGUGACUUCCUUCAUUUAGCAUAUCAAGGUUCAUCCAUGUUGUUGCAUGUAUCACUGAUUCAUUCCUUCUUAUGGCCAAAUAAUAUUCCACAGUAUGGCUAUAUUGCAUUGUGUUUAUGUAUUUAUCAGUUGAUGGACAUUUGGGAUAUCUCCACCUCUUGGCUGUAUGAAUGAAUGUAUGCUGGGGCUUGAGAACCCCCUGUCUAUGAGGAUCUACAGGAGGUGGCCCCUUGCUGUCUCUCUGAUUUCACCUUUACUCCAGCCCCACGGGCCCCAGGGUAUUGCACUGGCUAUUCCCUGUGGUGGCACACACCUAUAGUCCCAGCUACUUGGGAGGCUGAGGCAGGAAGAUCGCUUGAGCCCAGGAGUUUGAAGCUGUAGUUAGCUAUAAUCAACAGCUGAGGCCUUCUCCACGCUGGCCCUGGAUGCCCCCUGGGUGGAUGGGAACCUUCCCUCUUCCGGCUGUCCCUCAGCCUGACCCUCUGGGCCUCUCCUGCCCUCCCUCUGCACCUUCCCCAGGACACUGAUGAAGUGUGGAUGGUCUCCUCACUGAUUUCGGUGUCAGAGAGGCCCUGGAAGGCGGCCGUGAAGGCCUCCUCACACUCUUCAAGCUUGGGGCUCCGCAUCCCAACAAACAUCUGGCAGAUGCGGAGGCGCUCAGAGUAGGUUGUGAAGCAGAGGAGACAGGCCCAGGCGGGCACCCUGAAGACAGCCAGGGCCAGCAGGGCAGACGGGACGGCACUGGCCAGGGCCAGCAGGGCCAUCAUGUGGGUCUCAAGGCCAGGGGAGAAGCUAGUAACCUUUAUGAAGUCACCACAGGGUGGGGGAAGGGCC